AGGUUUUAAAAGUGAAUACAACGGUGGCAUUUCAAGUCACUGGUCUAGGUUAAAUCCUGGUAAAAAUU
rnacentral:tRNA from 1 species